AGCAGCCGCGGUAAUUCCAGCUCCAAUAGCGUAUAUUAAAGUUGUUGCAGUUAAAAAGCUCGUAGUUGAAUUUCGGGAUCAAUAUGUUGGUCGUGCCUCGGUACGUACUAGCUUAUUGGUUUCUCCUUUCUGAAGAACCAUGAUGUCAUUUAUUUGGUGUCGUGGGGAAUCAGGACUGUUACUUUGAAAAAAUUAGAGUGUUUAAAGCAGGCUCACGCUUGAAUACAUUAGCAUGGAAUAAUGAAAUAGGACGUUUGAUUCUAUUUUGUUGGUUUCUAGGAUCGACGUAAUGAUUAAUAGGGAUAGUUGGGGGCAUUAGUAUUCAAUUGUCAGAGGUGAAAUUCUUGGAUUUAUUGAAGACUAACUACUGCGAAAGCAUUUGCCAAGGAUGUUUUCAUUAAUCAAGAACGAAAGUUAGGGGAUCGAAGACGAUCAGAUACCGUCGUAGUCUUAACCAUAAACUAUGCCGACUAGGGAUCGGAUGAUGUUAAUUUUUAAUGACUCAUUCGGCGCCUUACGG
rnacentral:rRNA from 1 species